rnacentral:rRNA from 1 species
UACGGGGGGGGCAAGCGUUGUUCGGAAUUACUGGGCGUAAAGCGCGCGUAGGCGGCUUUGCAAGUCGGGUGUGAAAUCCCCAGGCUUAACCUGGGAACUGCAUUCGAGACUGCAUUGCUAGAGUAUGGGAGAGGGAAGUGGAAUUUCCGGUGUAGCGGUGAAAUGCGUAGAUAUCGGAAGGAACAUCAGUGGCGAAAGCGACUUCCUGGACCAAUACUGACGCUCAUGUGCGAAAGCGUGGGGAGCAAACAGGG